rnacentral:rRNA from 14 species
CGGCUCAUCUCAUCCUGGGGCUGUAGCCGGUCCCAAGGGUAUGGCUGUUCGCCAUUUAAAGAGGUACGUGAGCUGGGUUUAAAACGUCGUGAGACAGUUUGGUCCCUAUCUGCCGUGGGCGUUGGAAAUUUGAAGGGGGCUGCUCCUAGUACGAGAGGACCGGAGUGGACGAACCUCUGGUGUUCCGGUUGUCACGCCAGUGGCAUUGCCGGGUAGCUAUGUUCGGAAGAGAUAACCGCUGAAAGCAUCUAAGCGGGAAACUCGUUUCAAGAUGAGAUCUGCCGGGGCCUUGAGCCCCCUAAAGAGUCGUUCAAGACCAGGACGUUGAUAGGUCAGGUGUGGAAG